rnacentral:rRNA from 1 species
UACGUAGGGGGCAAGCGUUGUCCGGAUUUAUUGGGCGUAAAGAGCGUGUAGGCGGCCAGACAGGUCUGCUGUGAAAACUCGAGGCUCAACCUCGAGACGCCGGUGGAAACCGUUUGGCUAGAGUCCGGAAGAGGAGAGUGGAAUCCUGGUGUAGCGGUGAAAUGCGCAGAUAUCAGGAGGAACACCCAUGGCGAAGGCAGCAAAACUGGUCGAUCAACUGACGCUGAGGCGCGAAAGCGUGGGUAGCGAACAGG